rnacentral:rRNA from 1 species
AUGCCCAAAGGAUCCUUGGACAGAUGGAUCUACUGUCGACAUGACAAUGAUGCCCCUCUUUUAGAUUGGAGCACGCGGUGCAAGAUUAUAACUCAAGUAGCUAAGGGCCUGUCUUGCCUUCACGAAGAGUGCACAAAAAGAAUUGCUCAUUUGGAUGUCAAACCACAAAACAUCCUCUUAGAUGAUAACUUCGAUGCUAAACUUUCUGAUUUUGGACUAUGCAAACUCAUAGACAGGGAUAUGAGCCAAGUUGUUACUAGAAUGAGGGGCACACCUGGAUAUUUAGCUCCUGAAUGGUUGACAUCACAGAUCACGGAAAAGGCGGAUAUCUACAGCUUUGGCGUCGUGGUCAUGGAAAUCAUCAGUGGAAGAAAGAACCUUGACACUUCCCAGUCAGAAGAGAGCAUCCAUCUCAUCACCCUAUUGGAGGAAAAGGUAAACAGUGAUCGGUUGGUAGUUUUGAUUGACAAUAACAGCAACGACAUGCAAGCACACAAGCAAGAUGUGAUUCAGAUGAUGAUGAUGCUUGCAGAUUGA